AUUGAACGCUGGCGGCAGGCCUAACACAUGCAAGUCGGGCGAGCGGCGGACGGGUGAGUAAUGUAGGGGGAUCUGCCUGAUGGCGGGGGAUAACUACUGGAAACGGUAGCUAAUACCGAAUACCAUCAGAUGAACCCAUAUGGGAUUAGCUAGUAGGUAAGGUAACGGCUCACCUAGGCGACGAUCCCUAGCUGGUAUGAGAGGAUGAUCAGCAACACUGGGACGGGAACACGGCCCAGACUCCUAAGGGAGGCAACGGAGGGGAAUAGUGGCCACUGGGGGAAGGCCCACUGCAUACCUGCCGCGUGUAUGGAGAAGACCUUCGGGUUGGAAAGUACUUGCAGUCGGGAGGCGUUACCCGCAGAAGAAGCACCGGCUAACUCCGUGCCAGCAGCCGCGGUAAUAC
rnacentral:rRNA from 1 species